GUGCCAGCCGCCGCGGUAAUACGUAGGGAGCAAGCGUUGUCCGGAAUUACUGGGUGUAAAGGGUGCGUAGGCGGGAUUGCAAGUCAGGCGUGAAAUACCGGAGCUCAACUCCGGAGCUGCGCUUGAAACUGCAGUUCUUGAGUGAAGUAGAGGCGGGCGGAAUUCCUAGUGUAGCGGUGAAAUGCGUAGAUAUUAGGAGGAACACCAGUGGCGAAGGCGGCCUGCUGGGCUUUAACUGACGCUGAUGCACGAAAGCAUGGGGAGCAAACAGGAUUAGAUACCCUGGUAGUCCAUGCCGUAAACGAUGAUAGCUAGGUGUGGGGGGACUGACCCCUUCCGUGCCGGAGUUAACACAAUAAGCUAUCCACCUGGGAAGUACGACCGCAAGGUUAAAACUUAAAUGAAUUGACGG
rnacentral:rRNA from 1 species